UACAGAGGGGGCAAGCGUUGUUCGGAAUUACUGAGCGUAAAGGGCGCGUAGGCGGCCUCUUAAGUCGAACGUGAAAUCCCCGGGCUCAACCCGGGAACUGCGUCCGAUACUGGGAGGCUUGAAUCCGGAAGAGGGAUGCGGAAUUCCAGGUGUAGCGGUGAAAUGCGUAGAUAUCUGGAGGAACACCGGUGGCGAAGGCGGCAUCCUGGGCCGGUAUUGACGCUGAGGAGCGAAAGCCAGGGGAGCAAACGGG
rnacentral:rRNA from 1 species